rnacentral:rRNA from 1 species
UACGUAGGGUGCAAGCGUUAAUCGGAAUUACUGGGCGUAAAGGGCGCGUAGGCGGCCUUCUAAGUCGAACGUGAAAUCCCCGGGCUCAACCCGGGAACUGCGUCCGAUACUGGAAGGCUUGAAUCCGGGAGAGGGAUGCGGAAUUCCAGGUGUAGCGGUGAAAUGCGUAGAUAUCUGGAGGAACACCGGUGGCGAAGGCGGCAUCCUGGACCGGCAUUGACGCUGAGGCGCGAAAGCCAGGGGAGCAAAGCGGG